AGUGAACGCUGGCGGUAGGCCUAACACAUGCAAGUCGAACGGCAGCACAGUAAGAGCUUGCUCUUACGGGUGGCGAGUGGCGGACGGGUGAGGAAUACAUCGGAAUCUACUUUUUCGUGGGGGAUAACGUAGGGAAACUUACGCUAAUACCGCAUACGACCUACGGGUGAAAGCAGGGGAUCUUCGGACCUCGCGCGAUUGAAUGAGCCGAUGUCGGAUUAGCUAGUUGGCGGGGUAAAGGCCCACCAAGGCGACGAUCCGUAGCUGGUCUGAGAGGAUGAUCAGCCACACUGGAACUGAGACACGGUCCAGACUCCUACGGGAGGCAGCAGUGGGGAAUAUUGGACAAUGGGCGCAAGCCUGAUCCAGCCAUACCGCGUGGGUGAAGAGGGCCUUCGGGUUGUAAAGCCCUUUUGUUGGGAAAGAAAAGCAGCAGGUUAAUACCCCGCUGUUCUGACGGUACCCAAAGAAUAAGCACCGGCUAACUUCGUG
rnacentral:rRNA from 1 species